GCGCAUGUGGUGUAGUGGUAGCACAACAGUCUCCAAAACUGUUUGCAGAGGUUCGAAUCCUUUCUUGCGUGC
rnacentral:tRNA from 1 species